CCCGGUGAUCUUGGAUGGAAUCCUGGUUGGGAUCCCAGUUUGGACCCUGAUGGUGGCUCUGGUUGGGAUCACGGUUGGGAUCUUGGUGACCUGGGAUGGAAUGCCAGUUGGGAUCCCAGUUUGGAUCCCAUUGGCUCCGGUUGGGAUCCUGAUGAGUUGGGAUGGGAUCCUGGUGGCUCCGGUUGGGAUCCUGGUGAUCUUGGGUAGAAUCCCAGUUGGGAUCCCAGUUUGGAUCCUGGUGGCUCCGGUUGGGAUCUUGUUGACCUCGGCUGGAAUCCCAGCUCAAAUCCUGGCGGCUCCGGUUGGGAUCGGGGUCGGAAUCCCAGUAACCUGGCAUGGGAUCCCAGUUGGGAUCCUGGUGGUUCCGGUUGGGAUCAUGGUGAUCCCGAUUGGGAUCCCAGUUUGGAUCCCGAUGGCUUUGGUUGGGAUCCUGGUGAGCUCGGAUGGAACCACGGCUGGGCUGUCGCCGCGUCUGUCUGUCGGUCUGUCUGUCGGGCUGUCGCCGCGUCUGCCUGUCGGGCUGUCUGUCAGGCUGUCUGUCGGGCUGUCUGUGGGGCUGCCGGUGAUCCCGGUGCUGCGUCCGCCUAUAGGGUCGCCUAUAGGGCCGCCUAUGGGGCUGACAGGUGGCGCCGUCGGCUUGCAGGACGAAACCCCGGCGACAGUGACAGGCGAAACCUCCCUCGUGAUUGAGGCACAUGUGGUGACACACGGCGGCCGUUCGACAUUCGUCGCGAUCAUCGCAACGUCCCGGUGCUCCCGGAACCGGUCCGAAACCCAAAGGGCAACUCGGAACCGAAACGAUCGGAGCCACGGCCGCCGUCCCCGCGACCAGCAGGGCGAUCAACGCCAGCAUCUUUCGUUCCCCCCCCCCGCUGUCCGUCCCUCUGUCUGUCCGUCCCGCUGUCCGUCUGUCCCGCUGUUUCCCCCCCCCCCCGGGGUUGGGAACUCCGCCCCGAGGCUCCGAGAGGGGCCGCACCCUGAGGCGGUGCUGGGAUGGGGGGGGAACGAGGGAAAAGGGAGCGGGGAGGGAAAAGGGGGGGGAGGGAAAAGGGGGGAAGGGAUGGGGAAGGGGAAGGGAGAAAAGGGAUG
rnacentral:lncRNA from 1 species